UACGUAGGGGUCUAGCGUUGUCCGGAAUCAUUGGGCGUAAAGAGCUCGUAGGCGGCCUGUCGCGUCGGAUGUGAAAGCCCGGGGCUUAACCCCGGGUCUGCAUUCGAUACGGGCAGGCUGGAGUUCGGUAGGGGAGAUCGGAAUUCCUGGUGUAGCGGUGAAAUGCGCAGAUAUCAGGAGGAACACCGGUGGCGAAGGCGGAUCUCUGGGCCGAUACUGACGCUGAGGAGCGAAAGCGUGGGGAGCGAACAGG
rnacentral:rRNA from 1 species